rnacentral:rRNA from 1 species
UACGUAGGGGCCAAGCGUUGUCCGGAUUUAUUGGGCGUAAAGAGCUCGUAGGCGGUUGGGUAAGUCGGGUGUGAAAACUCCAGGCUCAACUUGGAGAUGCCACCCGAUACUGCUCUGACUUGAGUUCGGUAGGGGAGUGGGGAAUUCCUGGUGUAGCGGUGGAAUGCGCAGAUAUCAGGAGGAACACCGGUGGCGAAGGCGCCACUCUGGGCCGAAACUGACGCUGAGGAGCGAAAGCGUGGGUAGCAAACAGG